GCUGCUGUCUAAUGACCAUGUGAAUCAUGUUUAGUCAUGUUACUACUGUACAUUAAUAUUUUGAUUUUUAAUAAUAAAUCUAUUCUUAUUAAAGGGAAAUAAUGAAAAAUAGGCCCUUCAAUUAAAUAAAUAAAUGUCAAUAAAUUAAUAAUGAUAAUUUCUACAUUUUUUAUUAAUUAAUCCUCAUUGUUAUGCAUUUACUCUAGAGGUGGUUGAUUUGAGUGAGUUAUUGGAGACUUGAUGCAUCUUUUGUGACCGGAGGAAGUAAUGCUUUUGGUCUAAAUGAUGUUUGGGCUAUAGAGGGAUUAAUGAAAGGGUGAAGAGAGCAAAAGACAAGAGGGUCGUUAGAGGAGAUACUUAACCAUAAUUAUGUAUUGAAUUUGAUUAAAUGUAUGUUAUUGUGCGUGGUAGAUCACAUUUUACCGAAUUAUUAAAAAUAUUGUAAGAUGUUAAUCAAUAAUAAGGUGACACAUGGUCAUCGCACGAUAUACUUGAUUGUGACUCAUUUACAAUUUAGGGGCAGUCCAAAAGAAUAAGAAUUAAUGAUAAUAAUGAUUAACAUGUUGAUUUAAUGUAAUUACAACAUAAGUAAUCCGCGGGGUGGAGAUGUCAAUCAUGGCGAAAAGGGGACAUGCAAACCUCUGAUGUAUCCCAAUUGCUGAGGUGUAGUCUAAGUUUGACUUUGACCAAUCCAGCUCAUUUGUCUUGUAACAUUAUUUAUUUAUUAAUUACAUUUUAUGUCUUUUUUUUUAAUCUCAUUAAUGUCGUAUACAAUUUGCUUGUACACGUAGUAUUCAAAAGCACUAAAUGACCUAUUUGAACUUAAAUUCAUCAAGUCAAUUGCUUAAAAAAAUAAUAAAUUCAUAAUUAAUACUCUUAAUUUUAAUUUUUAUUUAUUUUAAAUAUGCUUAAAGCUAGCACUUGCUUGCACCUAUACAUUUGUGAUCAGAUUUGCGCUGAGAAGAAGAAAUUUGGAUAACAUAUAUCAUAAAGAAAAGCAAAAGAAAAAAAGAAAGUUAUUGAGGAAUUCUACUAUUUAUUUUUAUUUAAUUAUAAAUUUCGUAUCUAAGCUAUGUGCUGCCAAACUUCGAGCUACUAGCUAGAAAAAAUGUGGAGGACCCAGUAGUUCCUAUCACGAUUAAUUGUAAUUUUUGAAGUAAAGAUAUUAAUAAAGAAAUGACUCAUUACAAAUUCUUUCAAAUCACCAAUAUGGAUAAGACGAAUAGAAAUGAAUUCUGGGGGUGCCUCCCAACUUGAUACGAUCAUAGUCAUAGAUAUCAUUAUCCCCACAGUUCACAGCAUUUGUGUAUGCUUUAAAUAGCUUUUAUAUAUUCUCAUAACAAUAAAAUUGAUCAAGUUAACACAAUACAUUAUUUGGUCUGACCAUUAACUCAUCAUGGGUCCAUGGCCAUGACCAUUUUACUCAUCAAGUGCACCAAUAAAAGAACAAAUUGGUAUGUAUGUAUGUAUGUAUGUAUGCAUACACACUCACUUAAAAUUCUUAUGCAAUAUUAGAUGUAAGGUUGAAGUUGGAACAAGUGGUUGGCUCGAACAGUAGUGAGUUGCCGAGCCAAGUCUUGAAGUGUGCUAAAUCAAACUGAAGCAGAUUAUUUUCCAGCUGACGCCCGCCAAUGACAAUGGAAGUUCGAGGGUUUACUCCUCCAUCCACAAACCUUAAGCACAGCACAUCAUUUCCAAUCUGCACCAUUGAGUUUUGUCCAUGGACACUCCAAACCACGUACUUAUUGUGGAAAACAAGAUCGAUUUGAGGCACAAAUGGCCCUAUACGGGUAAAGCCAAUGUCUUCCAAUAGUAUCGAUCCCCCAACACGGAGAGGGAAAUAAUAAAAACCUUACAAUAAUGUACGCCAUUUACAUGGUCAAUUGAAUUAUUAUUGCAUAUUAAUUUAUUCACGAUAGUUUGUAAAAGAAGUUUGUAUCCCUUACAUGCUGCGUUACUUACUAAUUUAAUGUAUGUGACUUUUGUAAUGGAUAUUAAUGUAAGAUAUAUUUCAAACUUUACUUUUAUUUGAAUUUUUUAUUUUAAUAUGAUUAACUCAAAAUCGAAAACAAAAAAUGUAUUAGUUAUUCGGGGAUCGGGGACCCUUGGGGAUCCCCUGUUAUUAUUCGGGGAGAGGAUGAAAAUUCUCUCAAGUAAUUCUGACGGGGACGGGGAGGGGACGGGGACAUACGCAAAAUAUCAGGGAUGGGUAUGGGGAGAUUGGUCCCCUCCCCUCCCCUCCCCAUUGCCAUCCAUAUUAUUGCAUAUGGCACCUCAAAAUUCAAAAUUAUACACAAUUCCAUUAGCAGAAGAGCAUUACAAAAAAUGGUUUACAUGCCUCCCACGUUAUUUUGCACUUAAAUAAUGAUGUUAAUUUACAUCAGAGUUUAUGGAUAUCACAUAUGAUUCACUUGAUUAUAUGCUUGUAAGAUAUACAUAAACGAUGGAUUAUACCUGAACAGUCCAUUUUGAGGACCCUGCACCAUUGAGUUUUGUCCAUUUUCCAAUUUGCACCAUUGAGUUUUGUCCAUGGACACUCCAAACCACGUACUUAUUGUGGAAAACAAGAUCGAUCUGAGGCACAAAUGGCCCUAUGCGGGUAAAGCCAAUGUCUUCCAAUAGUAUCGAUCCCCCAACACGGAGAGGGAAAUAAUAAAAACCUUAGAAUAAUGUACGUCAUUUACAUGGUUAAUUGAAUUAUUAUUGCAUAGGGAUGGCAAAAAUUCCCACGGGGACGGGUACCCUCGGGGAUUUUUCCCAUUCGGGGAGGGUAUGAGGAUAAUUUCAUACCCAAUUUCUUAUUCGGGGAAGGGACGGGGAAAUUUUUUUACCCAAUUUCUUAUUCGGGGAGGGGACGGGGAUGAGGUGGAAUCCCCAUCCCCUACCCAUUUUCCCAUUUUAAUUUUUAAUUUAAUUUUUAUUUUUUUAAAUUACUAGUAAAUAAAUAAUAAUAUUUGAAUUAUAAAAUUAUAAAUAUUGGUAAAAAUAACAAAUAUCAAAAUAUUUAUAUUAUUAAACUUUUAGGCCUAAUUAAAGUCCUAAAUUUUUAUUUAGGACAUUAAAAAAUCGGGUAAAUUCUAUUAGCCCAAAAAUUUUGUUUUAAUUUUAAUAUUCAUUAAAUGUUUUAAACUUAAAUAUAUUUUUUAUUUAUUUUUAGAUGUUAUAAUUGCCCACAGCGAAUCACAAUUUUAAUUUCUAAUUUAAUUUAAUCUAAUAUUAUAUUUGUUCUUGAUUUGCUCCGACUUAACUAUUGUGCUGUAAAGGGAAUAGUCCACAUUUAUAAAGUGCUCACGCCACCAUUGAAAAAGUUAAUUUUGAAUCUAAAUUCGAUUUUAUUUAUAACAAUUUUGUAUUAGACUAUUAAUUUAUUCACGAUAGUUUGUAAAAGAAGUUUGUAUCCCUUACAUGCUGCGUUACUUACUAAUUUAAUGUAUGUGACUUUUGUAAUGGAUAUUAAUGUAAGAUAUAUUUCAAACUUUACUUUUAUUUGAAUUUUUUAUUUUAAUAUGAUUAACUCAAAAUCGAAAACAAAAAAUGUAUUAGUUAUUCGGGGAUCGGGGACCCUUGGGGAUCCCCUGUUAUUAUUCGGGGAGAGGAUGAAAAUUCUCUCAAGUAAUUCUGACGGGGACGGGGAGGGGACGGGGACAUACGCAAAAUAUCAGGGAUGGGUAUGGGGAGAUUGGUCCCCUCCCCUCCCCUCCCCAUUGCCAUCCAUAUUAUUGCAUAUGGCACCUCAAAAUUCAAAAUUAUACACAAUUCCAUUAGCAGAAGAGCAUUACAAAAAAUGGUUUACAUGCCUCCCACGUUAUUUUGCACUUAAAUAAUUAUGUUAAUUUACAUCAGAGUUUAUGGAUAUCACAUAAUGAUUCACUUGAUUAUAUGCUUGUAAGAUAUACAUAAACGACAGAUUAUACCUGAACAGUCCAUUUUGAGGACCCUGCAUAGCGUCUGUUAAUUUUACCUACACAAAAUAGCAAAUAUGAGUAUAAUUAAGAAUUUUUUGUAAACUAAUGUAGUCGCUACACCCAUUAGCAUCAUUAGAAGUAUCAUUACAUCUUCAGAAACAUCCUCAGGAUUAUCAUAAACUGCAUCCAGAGGGUAAAUUUUAGAAAUUUCCAUCAAUGAACCAUCUGGUAAUCUGAAAUAUCAAAUUCAAAGUAGCAAUAAGCAUAAACUCAAGGUAGUAAAAUAAGUUCAUGUGAUAGCAUGUAAUUCAAAAAAAGGAUUUGUGUAAUUACAAGCGUGAUUCGUCAAAUUUCCCACACCGCACGCUGCUUUCAAAAAUGUUAAGAGCCUGCAUAAUGCGAAAAUAGUUAGUCUACUGUCAUUAGACAAUUAAGUUUGACUAUUUAAAUACAGGCACCCAUUUACCAAUGAGAAUUUCAGCACCCGCAGCAGCAAGAGAUAUUGCAAUUGCCCAACCGUAUCUAUUGCCAUCAGCAACCCUAGCAAUAAAUGCUCGUUUACCUGCUAACAAUUGUCUCAGUGUAAGAUGUUUGAUAUUGGCCAGUAAGAUUAGCACAUAUAAGGUAUAGGAACUAGUGAAAGUGCAAGAGGCAAAGAAUCACAACAAUGAAACAUGACUCUGACAAACAUGAACGCAUGAUAUAGCACAAAGACAAUUGGGAACACAGAGAGCGGUACGACCUCUCAAAUCCACAGGCAAUCCUGAUAAAGGCUUGUCCUCAUCUAAGCUCUUAUAACAACCUUUACAGAUUUAACAGGACCUGAUGUGAAGUUCCUGUGCAACUGCUUUGUUGUUGAGAACCAAGUUUCAAGCCUUUUAGGAGAUGACUUUUCAUACUUUGUAGCGAAAGUUGCUUUGCUUGACAUAAAAUUUUUAGUAGAAAAAGAAAUGCAAGAAUGCGUUGCCGCAGACAUUUUGAAUAACUUAAAUCAACAAAGAUUCUUCAAAUUCAGUUGAAAAUGUCACUGCAAGUAAACAACACAACAUUACGCUAAUUCAUCACAUAAAUGCGUAUGACAAAUAUAAUUUUCAUCUAUAUAGAAUGAAGAUCAGGUGCGUGCUCGCACUAUAAGCUGCGUGACUCUAUGCAUCUGAUCAACUCCCCCGACUCUCUCUAUUAUAUAUAAUUUAUUUUCAGGUGCGGAUGUCUGUAUAAAUUUUCGUGCGAAUAUGCACUAGAAAAUGACUAUAUCAAUCAAUAUAUGUGCGUGUGUGAAUGCCUUAAGUAGAAAUUAAAAUGUUAGAGACCUUCCAAUAUGAACAAUGAUUGAUCUUCAUCGUUGAUUUAACAUCAUGCUCAAGCAUCAAUUCAAUCAAAUUUAGCAAGAGAUAAUCUACAUAAUGCUGUAUGAAUUAUUGAAAAAAGAAAAUACCGUAUCAAAAUCAAACACAUUUCACAGAAAGCAUAGCAUAUCAAAAGAGAAGAACCCAAAUAAAUCUUAAAAAUCAUUGAUAUAUAAUUUCGUACAUUAUUCAUAGAAAUAUCAAACACUCACCCACUGUAACGCCUAGAUUUUCGGCUAGAAAAUGGAUACUUGAAAGGGAGAAAAUAUUGGGUUCAAUAAUUUAUUUUUAUGUUACGUGUGUGUUAAGUGUAAAUUAGUUUCGAUAAUUUAAUUUUAUAUUACGUAUGCGUUAAGUGUAAAUUAGUUUCGACUAUGAGGGAUUUGCACCGGAUAUGAUUCAAUAAUGCUUAAAUGCCAAGUACAUGAUUCAUUACUUCCAAUGUUACGAAUAUGAUAGAAUCUGAAGCGAAGUUACCCGAAUACGCUUUUAUUUAAUUCAACUUAAUAUUUUCCAAUUGAGUUAUAGACUUCUAGACUUAUAUUGUUCUAGACUUGUCUAGUAGUCAAGAAGUAUGGCAUUUUCACAUAAUUAUAUUUUAUUAAAUUUUUUAUUGUAAAAUCGGCAAAUGACCGAAGAGAUUGGAUGUAAAAUUCUAUAUUUUUUAAAUUCAAAACUUCUAACUUUACAUUCACUAAAAUUCUAGACUUCUCGACUCGAGACUUGUCAAAAAAUCUAGAAGUCGAGAAGUCUAAAUUACAAUAUGAAACUUACAUUCUAACACUAAACUCAUUUAUCAACAAUUAACAAAAUAAAUCCCACAAAAAAAAUGAUAUGUUACAUGUACAUUUAAAUAUACUUCAUAAAUUUUUAUAAGAAAAAAAUACUAAAUCAAAAACAUUUAUCACUUAUAAUUUCACCAUUUUUAUCUAUUUAGUUGUAGUAAAUAAAACAAAAACUCAAACUCAAACUCAAAAGACUAAUUUUAUGAUAAAUAUUAAAGAAAAAUACAAGCUUUUUAGAAUUGAAUGUGAUUUUUAAAUUAUUUUGGGAUAUUUUUGUUGAACAAAAAUAUUAAAUUUUGCGUGAAAUUUAAUAGAGAGAUAUUAAAUUUUUUGUAGACAUAGAUUGUUCUUGAUGAAGAUUUUAGGGUAAAAUACCACCAAAAUGUCAUAUACAUUGCAUUCUAAAAAUAUUAUCAUAUUUAUGAAAAGUGAAAACAAGUUUGUCAUGUAUAAAUAAAGAGUAGUGUUACACAUUCUAAAUUUUUUUAUCCUAAAAAAAUAUUUUAAAUAGUGUGGCAUUCAUCAAUUGGUAUGGAUAAUACAAUUAAUUCACUUGGAUCUUAUAAAAAAUUAUUAACCACUCAAUUAAUGAAACAUCGCUUGAAAUUAACAAAAUAUUUAGGUUGUCUAUCAUUACUCAUCAGAAAAAAAAAACCAAGUUUUAUUUAUUAGUCGGUUUUGUUGUUUGAUGAUUGUUCGUUAACAGUUGCAUGGCAACUUUCGGAAUGUCGAAGAGAGGUUGUUUCGUUUGUUGAGCUGUGUUUCAAACACAGUGUUUGGCUUUUUGGCGCCCAUGGUAUAUUCCAAGAAGCCCUCACAACAUGGCUUGUAGGAUUUCACAAAGGCCCUAGUAUUUGAAGUUAUUUCCUUUGUAUGAACUCUUUGAGGAAAUAAGAGAAAAUAAUCCCGGGAACUGAGGCACAUGACAUGAACGCUUAUUACCAGGCUAAGGCUUAUAUAGUUAUCUGCAUCCGUGAGUUUGAAUUGUUUUGAAGACAGAUGGUUGAAUGACAUGGAUAAUAUUAUAAUAUAAAAAAAUUGUAAAUAUAUAUGAAAAAAAGGUAAAAGUCUAUUAGUUCCUAUAUUUUGGAAGUUAGUAUGUGCGUAGCCCAUGUUCAUUUAAAGUACUUCAAAACAUCUCCGUCAUUAAACCAGUGAUACACCUGUUAUUAUUUUUUUUUCUUUUUUGACUUACUUUUACAAUAUUAUUCUCUUACAAUAAUUCUUUUGGGACAUUAAUAAACAAAUUAAAUUAUCAAUUUAACUUCAAAAAUAAAAUAAAAAUAAAAAGAAUAUAUAUUAAUUUUUGUAGAAUACUUUACUAAGGAGUUAAUAUACUAAUUUUUUUAUUAAUAUUUUUUGGACAUACGUGAGCUUCCACAAAAAUUAACAAAUAUUCUUUUUUUAAUAUUUUUUGGGGUUAAAUUAGUAAUUUAAUUUUUUUCUUUCUAUUAAUGUCAAAAACUUAUUGUAAAAGGGUAAUAUUAUACAAACAAGCCAAAACGAACAAAAGAUAACGGUAGAGAUGUCAAUAGUUUAAUAACAAUGAAUUUUUAAGGUAUUUUUAAAAAUACAAAGACUGAACAGGCCACUAACAUUAAAAUAUAUGGAUUGAACGAACUUUUACUCUUAAAAAAAGUAUCCUUAAAUCUUCAAACUUACAAUUGUGGCUUGUACAUGAUGAGACAAAAGAAAGGUAAUGAAUUUUGAUAAGAGCAUAAACACAAGAGGAUUGGAUGUUUAAAGGGGAGCGACAAGAGAGAGAAACAAUGGGCAAAAAGAUUUUCUUAUUAUUUUGGAUUAUGUCAUAUGUGAAAUAGAUAAAAUUGACCUACUAUUAGAAAAAAAAAAUAGUUUAUGAUUUGGAUUUAGUGCUAAGUUGAUUUGUGCUCAACUCUUCAUAAUUUUCUAUCACUUAUACAUAUAUAACAAUAUAUAGUUAGAAUUUAAUUAAACUUAUGUUCUUAUCCAAUAACAACUAAUUGUAUCUUUCGAAAAAGUUAGCAAAAAAAAUAAAAUUAGCUCGAUACUAAAUCCAAAUCUUAAUUGCCUAAUCUAAGGCAAGAGUACUAGAUCCAUGUGUGGCAACAAGGUCACAAACCAACAGCUCCAAAGUCACAAACCGACAACUAUGAAGUCACGAACCGACAACACAUCUAGGCAUGUAUAAUAAUAAUAACAUUGUCCUUGUCGUCAAAUUCACCUCAAGAGAAUACCCAAUGAAAAUUUUCUUAUAUUUACUCAACUAGAUAUUAAGUUUGUAUCAAAAUUGAUGUGAUUUCUGUUGAUUGAAUUGUGUUAUAUAUACAUGAGCGUUUAAUAUGUAGGACAAUAAAUAAUUGGGAGGCACACAUCAAUUGAGAUACAAAGCGCAUAUUCUAAAUAAGUAUAAAUUAAUGUUUUAUUAAAUGUUCAAAUUUGGUGAACAUUUAUGUAUAAUGUCUAGGGUACCACAUUUUUUUAUUAUAUUAAAAUGAUUGCGUAUACGCUCAUCUCCUUUUGCUAUAAAACAUCGAACGUAGAACUCUAUCUUUGUAUCUUCACUUGAAAAUGUCAAAAAAUUCAAGCCAAUGCUCAAUGCAAUAUGGUAUUGGUAUUGAAAAAUUUCUUGUAGGGAAGAGUUUUUUUGUUACUGGGGCAACAUGGUUUCUCGCAAAGGGUAUAUAUCCUUUAAGUUUUAUCUUUAACACACUUAUGUGUGUGUGUGUGUAAAAGCUUUUUGGUUACUGGGACAACAAGGUUUCUUGCAGAGGGUAUAUAUAUCUUUUAAGUUUUAUCUUUAACACAUUCUUUUUGUUUUAUUAUAUUUUUAAUUUUUUUUUUAAGUUUGGAAAUUUUUUACCCCCUACCUUCUUUAGGAUUCAAACUUAGGUGGCUGGAGUUUUGAAUUCAAAUAGCCAGCCAAAUAAAAUUAUAUGACAAUCACUCGAUUAAGUUCUUAAGACAAAGUUUUAUCUUUGAACUCGUGCAUAUUUAUUCUGGAACGUAUAGUAUAGGAACCGACUAGCUAUAACGUUGAAAUGUAUUAUUAUUAUAAUUUUUAAUUUUUUUCUUUCUCAGUUCUUAUAGAGAAGAUAUUAAGAACAGUGCCUGAGGUGGGUAAGAUAUUUCUGUUAAUCAAGGCAGAAAGUGAAGAAGCUGCAUCGGAAAGAUUGAAAAAUGAAGUAUGUUGGUUAUAGAGUUAUAACUAUUUACUGUUAAUUCACUAGUUUUUUAGAUUUUACAAUUUGGUCCCAAAUCUUCAAUUUCUUUAUUAUUAUUAUUAUGUGGUUGUGUACUUUCAGGUCAUCAAUGCAGAACUUUUCAAGUGUAUUCAGCAAACUUAUGGGGAAUGCUACCAUGAUUUCAUGUUAAAUAAAUUGGUUCCUGUGAUAGGAAAUAUAAGUGAAAGUAACCUUGGAUUAGAAGGAGAUUUGGCCACUGUGAUCGCAAAUGAGGUCGACGUAAUUAUAAAUUCUGCGGCUAGCAUAACCUUUCAUGAAAGGUUAUAAUCAUUUAUGAGCUUAAUUUAUUCAUACUUAUAUAAUAAAUAGAAAGUGAUAUCAGUUAACGAGUCUAUCUCUUCCACAGACGUGUGGUAGAGCCAUGAAAUUUUCAGAAAACCUUUUUUAAAAUUCAAUUAAAAUUUUUAUUUGUCCUCAAUAAAAAUUGUGAUUUAUUUCCAUCGGUUUUGAAUAAUAUAUAUAAACAAAUAAGCUCAAAUUUAUAUUUUCAUUGUCAAAAUCUCUUUAAAGAAUUUGUUAAAUUUAAAAUUAUGUAAACAUACUUGAGAGAAAAAUCUAAUUUUUUACAGUAAAUUAAAUUUGUUCCUACUGAUCUUGAAAUCUGGCAACGCCAUAAUAUAUAUAUUUUUAAAAUAUUGUACGUAAUUAUUUAGAUAUAUAAGUGGCAUCACAUAUAUAGUUUAAUUUGAAAUUGCAGAUAUGACAUCGCAAUCGAUAUAAACACAAGAGGACCUGCCCAUAUCAUGACUUUUGCCAAAAAGUGCAAGAAGGUUAAGGUUUUUGUGCACGUAUCAACAGGCAAGUGUCUAAAACCUAUAAUGUUCGCAGCAGUCAGCAAGAACCCGUGUGAAAAGAAAAUUGCAAUUUUAUUUUCCUUAAGCUUUUGCCAGAAAUCGACGACUAAAAUGUUGUUACCCUUCUUUCAAAAUUAUUUGCAGCAUAUGUUAAUGGAAAGAGACAAGGAAGAAUUAUGGAAAAGCCAUUCUGCAUGGGGGAUACAAUAGCAAGGGAAUUAAACUUCAGUAACUCCAAAACUGAAACAAAAUUGGACGUUGGAAAAGAAAUAGAGUUGGCCGUGAAAUCCAAAAAAGCCCUGGAAAAUGAUGAAGAUGCUCUUAAGAAAAUGAAGGAAUUGGGUUUAGAAAGGUGAUAGAAUUCCUCUCUUGUCUUUAUUAUUUUCUUUGUUUAGAUUUGUUGCUGCUUCAUUUAAUUAACAUCUAAUUGUUAAUUAGGGCAAGAAAACAUGGAUGGCAAGACACAUAUAUUUUCACAAAGGCUAUGGGUGAAAUGCUGAUUGAUACCAUGAAAGAAAAUAUACCGAUUGUAAUCAUUCGACCUGGUAUUAUUGAGAGCACUUACAAAGAACCAUUCCCUGGUUGGAUCGAGGGAAAUAGGUAUCGAAAAUAAACAUUCUUUGUGUGUGUAUAUAAAUUGUUUAUGAGAAAGUUUAUGAUAUUAAUGGUAUAUACGGACGCUUAUCAUGUGUACUUUUAUAUAUCUUAGAUUCUUAUCAUGCGUAAUAACCAAUAAAUUAAGAGUAAAUACACCGACAUGACACCAUAAAACCAAAAAUUAAUUUUUCCAUUAUUUGAAUAUGAGAUUUUAGAUAUCUUAUAUCUUUUCUUCUUGAUUCGUAGGAUGUUGGAUCUUAUUGUUUCGUACUAUGGAAAAGGGCUAGCUAAAUGGGUUUGUAGGAGACCCUAGUGGAAUAAUUGAUCUAGUAAGUAAUAUCAACCGUUUUAUUCAUGUGGCUUUUUCACGGUGGACCAUGAUUCUGCACUCAUCUAAGCUAUUGAUAAUUAAUAAGGAUACAUAUACAUAUACAUACACACACACAUAUACACACACAUACAUACAUACAUACAUACAUAUACAACUUACUGAUAUCUUAACUAUUUGCUGUCAUUGUAGAAAAAUGUUAAAAAAAAUUAAAGAGUAAUAAAAUGUUGAUAAAAUAAAUUAUAACAGAGCAUGCUAUUAUAGUGUUAAUUAAUUAUUUUGUCUACCAUCGUAUGAUAUUGUAAUUCAUUUCGUCAGUGUUUUUGUCAAUUUUUUUAUCCAAAUGUCAGUGCUCACUACUUUAACAUGAAUAUUGGCUGCUGCAGGUCCCAGUCGACAUGGUUGUGAACGCAAUGUUGGCAGCCAUUGCAAAGCAUGGACAGGCGAUCAUACAAAAACCAGAAAUCAAGGUCUAUCAAAUCGCAUCUUCUGUUACAAAUCCGUUAGUUAUCAAAUAUUUUACGAGCCUUCUUCACGAACACUUCGAUUCCUCGCCUUUUUUGGACUCAAAGGGAAGCCCAAUUCGUGUUCCAUUAAUGAAGCUUUUCACUUCCAUGGAAGAUUUUUCAGCUCACUUUUUGGAAGGUGCUAUGCAGCGAAGCAUUAUUGGAUCUUCAAAGGGGGAGCUGCUGGUUCAGAAUCAAUACGAAAUUUUACGCAGAAAGGAGUUCGCUAAUAUAUACCAUCCAUACGGAAUUUAUGUUGGAAGGUAACAUUAAUUAAUUAAUUUGAGGUUAAUGCAUUCGUAUAUAACUCUGUUGUAAUUAUUCUUUGGCCUAAAGUGUUGCAUGAACUCCAUAUGCCAGGUUUGAUAGCAGCAAUACACUGGGGCUAAUGCAGAUCAUGAAUGAAGAAGAGAAGAAAAAGUUUGGAUUUGAUAUGGGGAGCAUUGAUUGGAAGCAUUACAUUACAAAUGUUCACGUACCAGGCUUAAGGAGGCAUGUCAUGAAGGAAAGGAGACGGGAGACGAGGGUGGGAGCUGAGAAUAAAAUUCCAGGGGGGCCAAAAUUUUAUAAAAGUAAACUUUAAGGAGUUAAAGUAAAAAAAAAAGGUGUUUAAUUAUUGGGUUAAACUGUUAAAGUAACUUACAUGGGCCAAAUUAAAAAAUAAAACUAUAUUCUAAAAGCUGAAUUUAUUAGCUCCGGCCCUGAAGGGAGAUGUCUAGCUGCUGUUUAAUGACUGUGUGAAUCAUGUUGAGUCAUGUUACUCCUUUACAUUAAUAUUUUGAUUUUCAAUAAUAAAUCGAUAUUUUGAAAUUUAUUUUUAUUAAAGGGAAAUAAUGAAAUAGGCCCUUCAAUUAAAUAAAUAAAUGUCAAUAAAUUAAUAAUGAUAAUUUCUACAUUUUUUAUUAAUUAAUCCUCAUUGUUAUGCAUUUACUCUAGAGGUGGUUGAUUUGAGUGAGUUAUUGGAGACUUGAUGCACCUUUGGUGACCAGAAGAAGUAAUGCUUUUGGUCUAAAUGAUGUUUGGGCUAUAGAGGGAUUGAUGAAAGGGUGAAGAGAGCAAAAGAGAAGAAGGUCGUUAGAGGAGAUACUUAACCAUAAUUAUGUAUUGAAUUUGAUUAAAUGUAUGUUAUUGAGCGCGGCAGAUCACAUUUUACUGAAUUAUUAAAAAUAUUGUAAGAUGUUAAUCAAUAAUAAGAUGACACAUGGUCAUCGCACGAUAUACUUGAUUGUGUCUCAUUUACAAUUUAUGGGCAGUCCAAAAGAAUAAGAAUUAAUGAUAAUAAUGAUUAACAUGUUGAUUUAAUGUAAUUACAACAUAAGUAAUCCGCGGGGUGGAGAUGUCAAUCAUGGCGAAAAGGGAACAUGCAAACCUCUGAUGUAUCCCAAUUGCUGAGGUGUCGUCUAAGUUUGACUUUAAUCAAUCCAGCUCAUUUGUCCUGUAACAUUAUUUAUUUAUUAAUUAUAUUGUUAUGUCAAUUUUUUUAUCUCAUUAAUGUCGUAUACAAUUUGCUUGUACGCGUAAUAUUCAAAAGCGCAAUAAAUUCAUAAUUAAUGCUCUUAAUUUUUAUUUUUAUUUAUUUUAAAUAUGCUUAAAGUUAGCACUUGCUUGCACCUAUACCUUUGUGAUCAGAUUUGCGCUGAAAAAUUUAGAACGUAUAUCAUAAAGAAAAAGGAAAAAAGAAGAAGAAGAAGGUUUUGAAGAAUUAUACUGGUUAGUUUUAUUUAGUUAUAAAUUCCUUAUCUCAGUAGUGAUAACAAUAGGGUAGGGUGGGGGAGGGGAGGCCUACCUCAUUCUCCUACUCUAUUAAAAAUUUCGCCUCCAUUCCCCAUCAUUUCCUCUAAUAAAUUUAAGGGGGUGAAGAUGGAAAAUCCGCAUGUGGGGAAUGAUUUUACUAUCCCCAUCUUAUUAUUCAUUUACUUAUUUUAUAGUAGGUAUAGAUAAGUGACUUUAAUAAAUUAAAAACUAGAGACUUAAAUAAAAUCACUACCCUAUUAUAAAGUUUUAAAUUAUUUAAAAAAGACAAUAAAAGGUUGAAACAAUAUAAAGUUGUAAUUGAUAAAAAAAAUUAUUGAACAAAAAAUAAGAAAAUAUUCAUAUAUAAUGGGGAUUAGGGUGGAGGUGGAGUGGGAAGUACAAAACUAAACCCUACCCUAUUCAGAAUUUGGAGAUUAUUUUCUCAUAUUUCCCACCUUAUUCCCUAAAAAUUAUUAAAAAAUCACCCCAUUUGAGGCGGUGUCCCU
rnacentral:lncRNA from 1 species